UGUUACCGCCCUUCGCAGGAAGGGUGGAGGGGAGUCAGCAGCUGGCGCGGUCAUCAGUGUCCCUUUUCCGGAACGCUGGGUUAGAGAAUAAACCGCAUCGACCUGAAAAUAGAAACCUAGAGCCCAGGCAGUGGGUCACUGUGGGACCCACACCGCUCAGGACUCCAGUUUGGACCGGGGGCACUCCAGAAUGUCCGGACACCCGGGCACUUGCUCAGUCUUUGGCAAUAGUCAGGCAUAAUGCGGGACAUUUGUUGAGGUUUCCGUGGUUGAGCGUCUGCUACUGGAGUCUCUCGUGGCCCGAUACAUUUCAGAAUUAGGAAAGGUUCGGUCAUUGCUCUCCCAACUGCUGAAGUCAGUUAGUCUCCCCUGUGUUCCCAGGAGAGCACCCCAGGGAAGGUAAAUUAUUAAACAACAUCGGGCCAUUAGCAUACUGGGCCUCAACUCUAUGGCCUUGCCUUGGAACAACUAAAUGUUUUAUUGAAGAUGAAAUAUACAUGCAUGAAAAAGAUGUGAAGGUAGCAGCAUGAGGGGGCCUGUGAAUUCUCUCAGAAGAGGCUUUCCCCUUUCAUGGCGGUUUACAGAAUUAGAAAUGAAAAAGGAGAAUAACUGAUAUCGCAGAAAUACAAAGGAUCAUGAAAGACUACCACAAGCAACUAUAUACCAACAAAAUGGACAACCUGGAAGAAAUGAAUAAAUUCUUAGAAAAAUACAACCUCCCAAUACUGAACCAGGAAGAAAUAGAAAAUAUGAACAGAUCAAUCACAAACACUGAAAUUAAAAUUGUGAUUAAAAAUCUUCCAACAAAAAAAAAAGCCCAGGGCCAGAUGGCUUCACAACCGAAUUCUAUCAAACAUUUAGAGAAGAGCUAACACCUAUCCUUCUCAAAUUCUUCCAAAAUAUAGCAGAAGGAGGAGCACUCCCAAACUCAUUCUAUGAGGCCACCAUCACCUUGAUACCAAAACCAGACAAAGAUGUCACCAAAAAAGAAAACUAUAGGCCAAUAUCACUGAUGAACAUAGAUGCAAAAAACCCCAACAAAAUACUAGCAAACAGAAUCCAACAGCACAUGAAAAGUGGGGUUUAUCCUAGGAACACAAGGAUUCUUCAAUAUAUGCAAAUCAACCAAUGUGAUACCCCAUAUUAACAAAUUGAAGGAUAAAAACCAUAUGAUAAUCUCAAAAGAUGCAGAGAAGGCUUUUGACAAAAUUCAACACCCAUUUAUGAUAAAAACUCUCCAGAAAGUGGGCAUAGACGGAAACUACCUCAACAUAAUAAAAGCCAUAUGUGAUAAACCCACAGCCAGCAUCAUAUUCAAUGGAGAAAAACUGAAAGCAUCUUCUCUAAGAACAGGAACGAGACAAGGGUGCCGACUCUCACCACUAUUAUUCAACAUAGUUUUGGAAGUUUUAGCCACAGCAAUCAGAGAAAAAAAAGAAAUAAAAGGAAUCCAAAUUGGAAAAGAAGUAAAACUGUCACUGUUUGCAGAUGACAUGAUACUCUACAUAGAAAAUCCUAAAGAUGCCACCAGAAAACUACUAGAACUAAUUGAUGAAUUUAGUAAAGUAGCAGGAUACAAAAUUAAUGCACAGAAAUCUCUGGCAUUCCUAUAUACAACAAUAAAAAAUCAGAGAUAUUAAGGAAAUAUUCUCAUUUACCAUUGCAACACAACAAAAAGAAUAAAAUACCUAGGAAUAAACCUACCUAAGGAGGCAAAAGACCUGUAUGCAGAAAACUAUAAGACACUGAUGAAAGGAAUCAAAGACAACACAAACAGAUGGAGAGAUAUACCUUUUUCUUGGACUGGAAGAAUCAGCAUUGUGAAAAUGACUAUAUUACCCAAAGCAAUCUACAGAUUCAAUGCAAUCCCUAUCAAAUUACCAAUGGCAUUUUUCACAGGACUAGAGCAAGAAAUUUUACAAUGUGUAUGGAAAUGCAAUAGACCUCAAAUAACCAAAGCAAUCUUGAGAAAGAAAAAUGGAACUGGAUGAAUCAGUCUCCCUGACUUCAGACUAUACUACAAAGCUACAGUAAUCAAGAUAAUAUGGUACUAGUACAAAAACAGAAAUAUAGAUCAAUGGAACAGAAUAGAGAGCCCAGAGAUAAACCCAUACACAUAUGGGUACCUUAUCUUUGACAAAGGAGACAAGAAUAUACAAUGGAAAAAACACAGCCUCUUCAAUAAAUGGUUCUGGGAAAACUGGACAGCUACAUGUAAAAGAAUGAAAUUAGAACACUUCCUAACACCAUACACAAAGAUAAACUCAAAAUGGAUUAAAGACCUAAAUGUAAGGCCAGACAGUAUAAAACUCUUAGAGGAAAACAUAGGCAGAACAGUCUAUGACAUAAAUCACAGCAAGAUCCUUUUUGAUCCACCUCCUAGAGUAAUGAGAAUAAAAACAGAAACAAACAAAUGGGAUCUAAUGAAACUUAAAAGCUUUUGCACAGGGGCUUCCUAGGUGGUGCAGUGGUUAAGAAUCCACCUGCCAGUGCAGGGGACAUGGGUUCAAGCCCUGCUCCAGGAAGAUCCCACAUGCCUCGGAGCAACUAAGCCCAUGCGCCACAACUAUUGAGCCUGCACUUUAGAGCCUGUGAGCCACAACUGUUGAGCCCAUGUGCUGCAACUACUGAAGCCCACGCACCUAGAGCCUGUGUUCCACAACAAGAAGCCAUGGCAAUGAGGAGCCUGCGCACCACAACGAAGACUAGCCCCCACUCACCACAACUAAAAAAGAAAGCCCGUGCACAGCAAAGAAGACCCAACACAGCCAAUAAAAUAAAUAAAUAAAUAAAUAAAUAAAAUAAAUAAAUUAAAAAAAAAAACCUUUCGCACAGCAAAACAAACCAUAAACAAGACAAAAAGACAACCCUCAGAAUGGGAGAAAACUAACAAAGGAUUAGUCUCCAGAAUAUACAAGCAGCUCAUGCAGCUCAAUAUCAAACAAACAACCCCAUCUGAAAAUGGGCAGAAGACCUAAAUAGACAUUUCUCCAAGGAAGACAUGCAGAUGGCCAAGAGGCACAUGAAAAGGUGUUCAACAUCACUAAUUUUACAGAAAUGCAAAUCAAAACCACAAUAAAGUAUCACCUCACAGUGGUCAGAAUGGCCAUCAUCAAAAAAUCUACAAACAAUAAAUGCUGGAGAGGGUGUGGAGAAAGGAAACCCUCCUGCACUGUUGGUGGGAAUAUAAAUUGAUAUAGUCACUAUGGAGAACAGUAUGGAAGUUCCUUAAAAAACUAAAAAUAGAACUACCACAUGACCUAGCAAUCCCACUCCUGGGCAUAUACCCUGAGAAAACCAUAAGUCAAAAAGAUAAGUGUACCACAAUAUUCAUUGUGGCACUAUUUACAGUAGCCAGGAUGUGGAAGUGACCUAAAUGUCCAUCAGCAGAUUCAUGGAUAAAGAUGUGGCACAUAUAUACAAUGGAAUAUUACUCAGCCAUAAAAAGGAAUGAAAUUGAGUUAUUUGUAGUGAGAUGGAUGGACCCAGAGUCUGUCAUACAGAGUGAAGUAAGUCAGAAAGAGAAAAACAAAUACCGUAUGCUAAUGCAUAUAUAUGGAUUCCAAAAAUACAGCACUGAUGAACCCAGUGGCAAGGCAAGAAGAAAGAUGCAGAUGUAGAGAAUGGACUUGAGGACACAGUGGGGGAAGGGGAAGCUGGGACAAAGUGAGAGAGUAGCAUUGACAUAUAUACACUACCAAAUGUAAAAUAGAUGGCUAGUGGGAAGCUGCUGCAUAGUACAGGGAGAUCAACUUGAUGACUGGUGAUGACCUAGAGGGGUGAUAUAGAGAGUGUGGAAGGGAGUCACGGGAGGGAGGGGACAUGGGAAUAUAUGUAUAAAUACAGAUAAUUCACUUUGUUGUACAGUGGAAACUGGCAUAACAUUGUAAAGCAAUUACACACCAAUAAAGAUUUGAAGAAAAAAAAAAAACCCCAAACCCCACAGUGGAAACAAACCCAUUACCACAAAGGGAACUUCUCCAUAAUGGCAUUUUAUUUUUUAAAUAGACUUGAAUGACCAAUUCUCAAAAAAUGAACAAUAGAGACAUGAGACUUCUCAUUCCACUAGGGAUACAUUCUUGCAGUUUUAAGAAAACUUUACAUUCAAAUACACUUUUCCCUCUCUCGUUUAAACAAACAUUUCUAGAGAAAAAUAGU